AUUGAACGCUGGCGGCAUGCUUUACACAUGCAAGUCGAACGGUAGACCCUUUCGGGGGUUGAGAGUGGCGAACGGGUGAGUAAUUCAUCGGAACGUGCCUAGUCGUGGGGGAUAACGUAGCGAAAGUUACGCUAAUACCGCAUACGCACUGAGGUGGAAAGCGGGGGACCGUAAGGCCUCGCGCGAUUGGAGCGGCCGAUGUCGGAUUAGCUAGUUGGUGAGGUAAAGGCUCACCAAGGCGACGAUCCGUAGCGGGUCUGAGAGGAUGAUCCGCCACACUGGGACUGAGACACGGCCCAGACUCCUACGGGAGGCAGCAGUGGGGAAUUUUGGACAAUGGGCGCAAGCCUGAUCCAGCCAUGCCGCGUGCGGGAAGAAGGCCUCGGUUGUAA
rnacentral:rRNA from 1 species